rnacentral:rRNA from 1 species
CUGACCAGAGACGGUGACAGUCCGGUAUUCGAAGCAAGACGAAGCAUAGUGGUAUCCUGAGUAGCGCGGAACACGAGGAAUUCUGCGUGAAUCUGCCGGGACCAUCCGGUAAGGCUAAAUACUCCCGAGAGACCGAUAGUGGACCAGUACCGUGAGGGAAAGGUGAAAAGCACUUCGAACAGAAGAGUGAAACAGUACCUGAAACCGUGCGCCUACAAGCGGUCGGAGCUCGUAAGAGUGACGGCGUGCCUUUUGCAUAAUGAACCUACGAGUUACCGUAUCUGGCAAGGUUAAGGGUCACGAGACCUGCAGCCGAAGCGAAAGCGAGUCUGAAGAGGGCGUCCAGUCAGUUGCGGUAGACGCGAAACCAAGUGAUCUACCCUUGGCCAGGAUGAAGUCUGGGUAACACCAGAUGGAGGUCCGCACCAAUAAGCGUUGAAAAGCUUCUGGAUGAGCUGAGGGUAGGGGUGAAAGGCUAAUCAAACUUGGAGAUAGCUCGUACUCCCCGAAAUGCAUUUAGGUGCAGCCUCGCGGGUUACUGAUGUGAGGUAGAGCGACUGAUUGGAUGCGAGGGCUUCACCGCCUAUCAAGUCCUGACAAACUCCGAAUGCGCAUCAGUUUUACCGCGGGAGUGAGGGCAUGGGUGCUAAGGUCCGUGCCCGAGAGGAGAAGAAUCCGGACUAUCAGCUAAGGCCCCGAAAUGACAGCUAAGUUAAACUAACGAAGUCUGAUUGCUAAGACAGCUAGGAUGUUGGCUUGGAAGCAGCCAUUCAUUUAAAGAGUGCGUAACAGCUCACUAGUCGAGGAAUCGGGCGUGGAUAAUAAUCGGGUAUGAAGUUGUCUGCCGAAGCUAUAGAAUCAGCAAUGAUUGGUAGGGGAGCAUUCCAUUCGGCGUUGAAGGCGUGGCGUGAGCCAUUCUGGAGCGUAUGGAAAAGCAAAUGUAGGUAUAAGUAACGAUAAAGGGGGUGAGAAACCCCCUCGCCGAAAGACUAAGGUUUCCUGAUCAACGCUAAUCGGAUCAGGGUAAGUCGGGUCCUAAGGUUCAGCCGAACGGCGAGACCGAUGGCAGAAACGGUUAAUAUUCCGUUACUACCUUUGAGGGUGACGUGGGGACGCAGGAGUGACACCGCCGCCGGCUGACGGAAUAGCCGGUUAAAGAGUGUAGACGUUGAUUUCCGCAGGCAAAUCCACGGAAAGAGUCGAACUUGACAGUA